rnacentral:misc_RNA from 1 species
UACGGAGGGUGCGAGCGUUAAACGGAAUUACUGGGCGUAAAGCGCGCGCAGGCGGCUACGUAAGCCGGUUGUGAAAGCCCACGGCUCAACCUGGGAAUGGCAUCCGGAACUGUUUAGCUAGAGUGCAGAAGAGGAAGGUAGAAUUCCCGGUGUAGCGGUGAAAUGCGUAGAGAUCGGGAGGAAUACCAGUGUCGAAGGCGGCCUUCUGGUCUGACACUGACGCUGAGGUGCGAAAGCGUGGGUAGCAAACAGG